rnacentral:rRNA from 1 species
GAUGAACGCUGGCGGCGUGCCUAAUACAUGCAAGUUGUGCGGUAACAGAGAGAGCUUGCUCUCUGCUGACGAGCGGCGGGACGGCAGAGUAACGCGUAGGAACAUACCCCAAACUGAGGGAUAACUGCUCGAAAGAGUAGCUAAUACCGCAUGUGGUCUUCGGAUUAAAGCUUCGGCGGUUUGGGAGUGGCCUGCGUCCGAUUAGCUAGUUGGUGAGGUAAUUGCUCACCAAGGCGACGAUCGGUAGCUGGUCUGAGAGGAUGAUCAGCCUGACUGGAACUGAGAACGGUCCAGACUCCUACGGGAGGCAGCAGUAGGGAAUUUUCCACAAUGGGCGAAAGCCUGAUGGAGCAACGCCGCGUGCAGGAUGAAUGCCUUCGGGUUGUAAACUGCUUUCUGUGUGAAGAAUAU